GACCUAACCCGUAGGGCAACUUACGGCACGGUCAAAAAUCGUUGAACGCAGAAAGCUCCUAGUCAGAGCACGCGUUCAACGUCGUAUCGGGAAACCUUUACGGGUCUCGCAAGAGACC
rnacentral:sRNA from 12 species